rnacentral:piRNA from 1 species
UGGCCACAGUUGCAGGCCUCAGAUGGGCAGC